GCAUCACAGGUCUGUGGCUGAAAGUCGAUGGCAGUCGCAGCCAAAACGAUCCACGUAACGCAGUCAAAAGGGCUGCUGAGCAUGGUGCGGUUUUAGAAGUAAGUCCUGCCGGGAAAACCGAGAGAGUGAGUUGUGAGAGGCAAGCGCCGGGUAGCUAAAGCUCCAGCAGGCGAGUGUGGGGUCAAAAGCCAGGUCAGCUGUAGAUGC
rnacentral:ncRNA from 12 species